UGCCAGCUGCCGCGGUAAUACGGAGGGGGCUAGCGUUGUUCGGAAUUAUUGGGCGUAAAGGGCGCGCAGGCGGUCUUGUGCGUCAGGUGUGAAAGCUCGGGGCUCAACCCCGGAAGUGCACUUGAAACAGCAAGACUUGAAUACGGUAGAGGAGAGAGGAAUUCCUGGUGUAGAGGUGAAAUUCGUGGAUCUCAGGAGGAACAUCAAUGGCGAAGGCAGCUUCUUGGUUCGUGGCUGACGCUCAAACACGAAGGCGUGGGUAGCAAACAGGAUUAGAUA
rnacentral:rRNA from 1 species